rnacentral:rRNA from 1 species
GAUGAACGCUGGCGGUGUGCCUAAUACAUGCAAGUCGAGCGAACGGACGAGAAGCUCGCUCCUCUGAUGUUAGCGGCGGACGGGCGAGUAACACGUGGAUAACAUACUUAUAUGACUGGGAUAAUUUCGGGAAACCGGAUCCACUACCGGCUAAUACUUCGUACCGCAUGGUUCAAAAGUGAAAGACGGUCUUGCUGUCACUUUUAGAUGGAUCCGCGCUGCAUUAGCUAGUUGGUAAGGUAACGGCUUACCAAGGCGACGAUGCUUAGCCGACCUGAGAGGAUGAUCGGCCACACUGGAACUGAGACACGGUCCAGACUCCUACGGGAGGCAGCAGUGGGGAAUCUUCCGCAAUGGGCGAAAGCCUGACGGAGCAACACCGCGUGGGUGAUGAAGGUCUUCGGGUCGUAAAGCUCUGUUAUUAGGGAAGAACAUCUGUAGAAUUAACUGUGCACAUCUUGACGGUACCUAAUCAGAAAGCAACGGCUAACUACGUG